CACCAUGCGGCUGUUACGCUGCCUUUGAACCAUAAUCCAUGCACCAUUAAGCUCCCUUUUAGUUAUCUUCCUUCCUGUUUCUCUUCCUAAACCUUAUUGCUCAUAAUUUAUUGCACCUUUACCAUUAGUUAGGACUUGACAUUUUUUUUCCGGACACCCUUCCUUAUAAUGCCAAAAUUUCCCACAUGCUAUGGACAAAAAAAUG
rnacentral:lncRNA from 1 species